AACCUAUGCUGGCGGCACGCCUAACACAUGCAAGUCGAACGAAGUAGCAAUACUUAGUGGCAGACGGGUGAGUAACAUGUAGGUAUCUGCCCUUUGGCCUGGAAUAACACGAGGAAACUUGUGCUAAUACCGGAUAAGUCUUUACGGAGAAAGCUUUAUGCACCAUUGGAUGAGCCUGCACUUGAUUAGUUUGUUGGUGGGGUAAUGGCCUACCAAGACUGUGAUCAAUAGCUGAUUUGAGAGGAUGAUCAGCCACAUUGGGACUGAGACACGGCCCAAACUCCUACGGGAGGCAGCAGUGGGGAAUCUUGCACAAUGGAGGAAACUCUGAUGCAGCGAUGCCGCGUGAGUGAAGAAGGCCCUUGGGUUGUAAAGCUCUUUCGUCGGGGAAGAAAAUGACUGUACCCGAAUAAGAAGGUCCGGCUAACUUCGUGCCAGCAGCCGCGGUAAUACGAAGGGACCUAGCGUAGUUCGGAAUUACUGGGCUUAAAGAGUUCGUAGGUGGUUGAAAAAGUUAGUGGUGAAAUCCCAGAGCUUAACUCUGGAACUGCCAUUAAAACUUUUCAGCUAGAGUAUGAUAGAGGAAAGCAGAAUUUCUAGUGUAGAGGUGAAAUUCGUAGAUAUUAGAAAGAAUACCAAUUGCGAAGGCAGCUUUCUGGAUCAUUACUGACACUGAGGAACGAAAGCAUGGGUAGCGAAGAGGAUUAGAUACCCUCGUAGUCCAUGCCGUAAACGAUGUGUGUUAGACGUUGGAAAUUUAUUUUCAGUGUCGCAGGGAAACCGAUAAACACACCGCCUGGGGAGUACGACCGCAAGGUUAAAACUCAAAUGAAUUGACGGGGACCCGCACAAGUAGUGGAGCAUGUGGUUUAAUUCGAAGAUACGCGCAGAACCUUACCAACACUUGACAUGUUCGUCGCGACUCUAAGAGAUUAGAGUUUUCGGUUCGGCCGGACGAAACACAGGUGCUGCAUGGCUGUCGUCAGCUCGUGUCGUGAGAUGUUGGGUUAAGUCCCGCAACGAGCGCAACCCUCACUUUUAGUUGCCAUCAUUAAGUUGGGCACUCUGAAAGAACCGCCAGUGAUAAGCUGGAGGAAGGUGGGGAUGACGUCAAGUCCUCAUGGCCCUUACGUGUUGGGCUACACACGUGCUACAAUGGUAUCUACAACAGGAAGCAAGACUGCGAAGUUAAGCAAAUCCCUAAAAGAUACCUCAGUUCGGAUUGCACUCUGCAACUCGAGUGCAUGAAGCUGGAAUUACUAGUAAUCGUGGAUCAGCGUGCCACGGUGAAUGCGUUCCCGGGUCU
rnacentral:rRNA from 1 species